AUGAGCCACCGCCAUCGAUGGAACUCUGUGAACGGAGAGGACAGUGAAGGAGGCCGGCGCCCGCGGGGCAGAGGCACACAUGUCACCAGCCUCUGGGUGGACCAGCCCCAGGUGGUUCUGGGAAUUUGGAGGCCAGCCGAGCUCAAGGAGAUGCAGAGGUAUUCUUUGGAAGGGGAGUGUAUUGGGAGGAGGCAGCCCGGAGCACUUUCUCCCUCCGCUGUUUUCUCACCUUGCUCACCCUUCACCUCCCCAGACGGGUGGGGGGCGGGUGAGGGGCGCCUCUCCGGGCUGUCUGCGGGGGCCCUGUGCUUAAUUAAGCACCUCACAUGCAAGGUGUCCAGGAAGCGUCACCACAAGGUGCGAGCAGAGGCUGCUCUUUCCCCAUCUCCCAGGAAGCCAGGAACAACCAGAGAGGUUGAGGAACUCAUCCAGAGGCCCACAGCUCUAGGAAGGGGAGUCAGGACCCGAACUCAGAACGAAAGGAUUCUAGGCUCUCGGACUUUGGCCCACGCACACCCCAGCUGCCCCCAGAAGUGUUCGCAGACCUGGCUAAGUUCGGUACAGCCCAUCCAUACGUGGACCGUCCCCAGCCAUGUAAAUGGUGGUUUGGAAUAUUUCAGGGGGCACCUGGGGGGCUCAGCCGUUGAGCACCUGCCUUCAGCCCAGGGCGUGAUCCUGGAGACCCAGGAUCGAGUCCCACGUCGGGCUCCCCGCAUGGAGCCUGCUUCUCCCUCUACCUGUGUCUCUCUCUGUCUCUCUGUCUCUCUGUGUGUCUCUCAAGAAUAAAUAAAUAAAUAAAACCCUUAGCAUAUUUCCGCCUUUAGG
rnacentral:lncRNA from 12 species